GUAGACAUCACUAAAUAAAAGUGUAGACAUCACCAAAUAAAAGUGUAGACAUCACUAAAUAAAAACAAUAUACAUCACCAAUAUCUUACCAACAAUGAACAUUUGGGUUAGAGAACUCCCCCCCCCCCUCCCGCUCAUUUCAAACCAGCUUUACGACUAUCAUUUCUUGUUUACGACAACGGCGUUGUAUCGUGCCAUUCAUGGAGUCUCGGUCUGUCCCAUUGUCGCUAGCAGCGGGCGAUGACGUGGGAGAGGGAGGAGGAGCAUCACGUGGCCAGAGAAGUGCACAUCAGUCCUGGCAGAGGCAGUCAGGGGUGACCAACAAAAAAUAUGCUUACUGGAAACGCAGGUGACGAAAUCAGUGGACAUGUGACGACAGAGCAUGAUGACAGACAAGAUCAACAUUUAAUUAUUCGUCUCCAGUCAAGGCAUAUUAGAAUGAGACAACACAAGUUCCGGAAGAUUAAAAGUUGAACCAUGUCACAAGAGAAGUGCUGACAAUGUCCCUCAAAGCUGCUAAGAAGCCUAAUCUGGAUACCAUGCAUUCCGUAGGAAGAGCAACUGUAUGGAUCAUCCACAGCUUAGUUCAUCUCAGAUAUAAACCUAGGACUAACCCUAACCAUAUCUAGACAAUCCAACUUCAUAAGGAAAACUCAAAGUAGUAAAGAUUUUGAUUGCACAGUUGUUUAUUUCCUACUACUUCUGUGUGUUUUUAUUUUUGUCGGUGUUUUGUUUUUGAUGUAGGCUUAGUAUUUAUUUAGCGUCAAGUACAGUGUCUCCACAGUCUAGCUGCGAAACUUGAAUUCAUUUGUUUGAAAGUAUUGAAUUUCAUCAAGACCCGGGUUAAAGUUACACUAAAAGUGCAUGUGUUGUUUGAAAUAAAUAUAUUUUGCAUAACAAAUAUAUAGUAGAACAUACUGAUUAAAUAUACAAUUAGGACCGGCCUUAGGUAAUUGGAGGCCCAAGACAAAGCGAAUAGGGAGGGAGUAAUUAUGUUGUAGAUUCCAAUUGUAUUCAUUAGUUGUUUGUAAGGGAGGCUUACUGAUGAAUUCUGUCAAAAAGCUUAGCCCAUUCAGUCAUCUGUUGAGUGAUUCCGGCAUGACUUAAAAAAUUCACAAUCUCAAAGUGACUGCAACACAAUCAUGAACACAUACACAAGAUCCCAAGUACACAGUAAAUGAAAGUGAUACAUUUGGGAGGCCAUUACGCUUAUUCAAUUAGGAACGAGAGAGAAAGAAAGAAAAAGAUAGAAAGAAAGAAAGAAAGAGAGAGAGAGAGCAAUCGAGAGAAUAAAGUUGCAAGAAAAAGGAGAGUUUAAAAAAACAAAGACUGAAAUUUGCUUGGGAUGAAUUGAAAUUGUGAGUAAUUUGUCUGUGUGUGUGUGUGUGUGUGUGUCACAGUCACAAUAAAACAUUUCUAUGUUUAUAAUGUGUGUGUGUGUGUGUGUGCGUGUGUGAUGUUGACACCUAUGCUGAAUUUUUCUUCCAGUGACUUCCAUUCGUUAUUUCCAUUACAUUGACCUGGGCAUUUAUUUACAUCUACCACGUGAUAGGCAUGAAAUGUAAGUCAGUUUGUAGGCCCUACAUGAAUGAUACCACGACACACACAACCCCAUCCAUUUACUUCCCCCCCCCC